AACAUCGCGCACCUGCGGGAACCUGCGGAGGGAUCAUUACUGAGUGCGGGUUCCAAUGAGCCCAACCUCCCACCCGUGUUUACCGUAACCGCGUUGCCUCGGCGGGCCCACUGGGGCCUGUCCCCGGUCGCCGGGGGGCAUCUGCCCCCGGGCCCGCGCCCGCCGAAGCGCCCUAGAACCCUGCCUGAACAGUGAGUCUGAGUGAGUGAUUGAAUCAUUAAAACUUUUAGCAACGGAUCU
rnacentral:misc_RNA from 1 species